rnacentral:lncRNA from 1 species
UGAUCUCCUUGCAUCCAUGGGCGAAAUGGGUUCAUUAGCCGCAUCACUUGGCUACAUAAAAAUGCAAAGUAUAAAAAUCAAUCGAUAAACUUUCAGUCCUUAUUAUAAACAUGUUAUAGUGAACAUCAUGCUUGUAAAUAAAGGGAAAAUACCACAAUUGCUUGCAUUAUAUUGGAAAUUAAUACUCAUACAUAAGAUAAAAUACAACCAAAGCAUAUGGAUAUUAUUGGUGGUUGUAACAGUAAUAUAUACCCAGCUCUCUACUGUCAACAUACUUCCUUUUUAUUUUUGUAUAACCCUGGUGGUCUAAUUAGCUUGGCGCAUAUGGAUUAAUUUCAUGGAGUAUCUACUGCCUCCCACCAAUACAUGUACCGAAUAAUUUUAUUCACGUUAUACCCCUGGUAACAAGAGCUAUCACUAUUUCCCACUAAAAGGUAAAGAUUGACGCAGAAUAAAUAACCAAUCAAAUGAUGUAUUCAAUAUGUAAAAGUUGGAUAUGGCUCGAAGUUCAAGGGCACCAUUCAUUCAGAAGGUUACAUGUUUAGUUCCUUCCUGUGAAACUAUGAAGCUAGCAGGAAAUGACCUUAUGACUGUACAAUAAGUUAAUGAAACAUAACUUACACCAUUGCCCACCCGAAGCUGAUAAAAAAGAACGGGACUGAAUGAAACUCUACAACUCACAAAUUUGUGCUACACAUACAGUAUGUCAAAGCACUAGAAAUGCUUAGCUAUUAUCAGGAAAUGAUUUCGAUUGAAACCUGACUCUCAUAACAAUCCGGUACACUAUCUAUGUCACAUUAGAUAAAUAGAGAUAGUCAAGACAAAUUAAGCUUAGACUACAUUUAUACCAACCAAUAGACGUUAAAUUUGCAAGAAUUAAGGACCAUUUUAUCAGCGGCUGCUAGUGUAUCUGAUUGUCUCUGACCAUUCAUGAUAAUUGAUUAUACAAUUAUCAAUUGUGUCCUCUUCUCAAAGCCGAAAUAGACAUUUAUUUUGAUUGAAAAUUUUGGCUAUAUUUGUAAUACAAUCCAAAGCAUUGUCAAUUACUACACAGUUAAUAUUGGUGUUACUGUUUGUUCACAGGAUUCUACGUACCAGAGUUCGCAGACAUCAUUGUCAAGAGAAACAUGCUACCAAUUACAAACUUCAAGAUUCAACUCCAAGGAAUCAUGGUACUCAAUACUUAUUUCAUUUAAUUUAUUCUUCACCUAUCUCUUAUUUAUUUCAGUGUUCUUCAAUACUCCUAUUGAAGUUUAUCAACUACUUGUGAUAAGUUUACUCAACUAUCUAACAUAGAUAAAUUAAGGUAAUCACUCUUGUAUUUUCUACCAAGCAUAGACAGACAAAGUCAUCGUAAAAUAAGUUGUCAUACUAAGCUUCUAUAUAGAAACAAAUGAUGUAUAUUAAAUAGGGUCUUGUCGUCAUCAACAUGUGACAUUUUGUGACUUAACAUAUAUCAUAUAUCUAACUUGUAUGCCUAGAGACUAAGCUCAACUGGUUCACAAGAUUCUGUAGAUAUGAGAUAUAUAUCAUAUAUCUAACUUGCAUUAAUAGGUUGGCCUUUCAACUGUCCCAACCAAACAUUUAUACCAAGAUACAUUCAUAAUUUGACAACAGGCACCCCCUACAAGGCUAAAAUUAAAACUAUCAUGAAACACACCAGAAUAAAAAAGGCAGCAGCGACUACAAUUUGACACAAAACAGAGAAGGUCUAGGUACUGGUAGGUGUAAACACCUCUAGCUGUACAUGGCAACAUUAACAUAGCAUGUUCAUACUAUCCAAAAUUAUGGUUUGGAAUAUGUAUUCUCCUGGCAAUGGUUUGGAUGGGAAUUCAAUCUGUGUUGUUCUGCACUCUGGGUUAGUGCCCCACAAGCCUUACCAGUUACUUGGCACUGAAUGGAGGUUUCUGAUCGAGUUCAUUACAAGUGGUAUUGCAGUAGCCUCGAGGGCAGAGUGUACGUAGACCUUACUCCUACCUUGUAGAGAUAGAAAGGCUGGACUUUGCUCUCAUCUUAGUGGGUAACCAUUAAGGUAAUACAGCUUUAAGAAGUACUACAAAUCACCAUCUCUAUACAAGCAUAAGUGAAGCUGUUAUUAUAUAAUUGGGAGCAAUUAAACAAAAUCACAUGCAAAUUUAGAGUGGUAGAAACUACAAAGGGGGGCUUGUGACUUACCUGAGUCAGAAUUGGGAAUGUGGGGAAAAUGCGUGGACUCUUUUGGUUACUAAAGACACCCUUUUAACUCCUUUUAACAGUCGCAACAGUACUCCAAUUUCCCAAGCUUUUUUGCAAUCUCUUUCAAUGCUUUCACUGAAAAAACUGUAAUGUCACAAUACUCUGACAAGAAAUUGUAAUGUCAAUGCAGGCCUGAUCGAUAUUUAAUGCUCUAAGCCAAAUAUGCCAGACUAAAAAAUACAUGCAAUGAUAAGUAAGAAAGCAUCCACAUCUUUUUAUCAUAAAGAAUGAAUAAGAAGUAUCAGCAAAAUAACAAAGAGUUUAAUUUCUAUAGGCUAACAGUAUAAAAGAAAUUUUACACUAACGGAUCACCUAAAGAUAACUACAGGUAAACGUCACUAAUAAGGGAGAUCAAUAACCUUGAGACAAGCAGGUAACCUUCUAUAAAUGUUAAAAUACGUGACCACUGUAAAAUCAAUGUCGUGUUAAAUCCAACCAACAGAUACCACAAACAACAGAUGAAGUAACUGUCAUCCGUCUAGGCUCAAGUACCACGAAGACAAUGGACAAUUUAUCAAAUCAAAACAUCUAAUUACUGCUCACAACUCCACAGCGAUUUAUAUCUCACAUUCUUCAAUGAAAUACUACGCCUUUGUCUAUAUGAACUGAAGUAAAUAGAAUAAAACAACACACAGAUCUAGAGAGAAGAAAAGCAGAAUGUGUAAUUAGUCAACAAUAUUAAGGAAACAACAAAUGAAAAAACAAAAAACGCUAAUUAGUGAAGUUGGUUUAGAUACCUAAUUGAGGGAAGACACAAUUUAAAACAAUAAAAUGUAACCAACUAACCUACAGAAAAGAACAAGCAAAGACAGCUAAUGCACUACAAUAUUAAUUCAUUAUCUUCAACUGCUAAAUGAAAUAAUAAAAGAAAAUAUUAGCUAGUAUCAUUAGUCAACGAGAAACAAGAAUCAAAGAACCUACAAAAUAUUUGAGUCUUCAUCAUGAAGAAUCAAGAAUCAAAUAAAAUAAUAGCUUAAUAUAAGUUGUAUCAUUCUUGUUCUUAAAUUGAGCUCAC